GAAUUUUAAAAAUCCAUACAUCAACUCAUAUUUCUCUAAAAAUUAAUUAUUAAUCAGCCAUUAUAAGAAAAAAAAGAAAGAGAAAGCAAGCAAGCAAGGAAGAAAGAAAGAAAGGAAGGAAGGAAGGAAGGAAGGAAGGAAGGAAAGAAUAAAUAAAUAAAGGAAAGAAAGAAAGAAAGAGAAGAAAAAGGAAAAGAAAGAAAGACAGAGAGAAAGAAAGGAAGGAAGGGGGAGGGUCAGAGGGAAGGAAAGAAGAAAGAGUGAGUCAGACAAGGAGAUGUGAGUUAGCUUUGUAAAUAUCCAUAAUCCAUUUUUAACUAUAACUAAGAAAUCACGUUGUCCAAGGCCUUGGGAGUCCACUCCUUGUACCAGUAUGCCUUGGAUGUUGGACACGAAAUCAAAAGAGAUUAUUUUGGAGCUUUAAGUUUUAAUGACUGCCUUGCUGGGAUUCAAACUUGCUUGGGGCCUGUAUCUUCUUUCUUUUGGUCAAUUUCUCCCUUUUUGAACAGGAAUGCUUACCCAAUUCCUAUACCUCCAUUGUAUCUUGGAAGUAAAUAACCUGAUUUUUAUUUUACAGGAUCAUAGAUGGAAGGGACUUGCCUUGUCUCAGACAGGACUUGGGACUUUUGAGUCAAUGCUGGAAUCAGUUAAGAAUUUAGGGGACUGUUGGGAAGGCAUGAUACCAUUUUGAAAUGUCAAAAGGGCAUGAGAUUUUCAAAGGGCCAGAGCAGAAUGAUAUACUUUUCAGAAUGAUAUCCCCCAAAUAUCAUGUUGAAUUGUAAUCCCCAAUGCUGGGGUGAGGUCUUGUGGGAGGUGUUUGGAUCAUGGAGGCAGAUCUCUCAUGACUUGGUACUUACUUCAUGAUAGUGAGUUCUCAUGGGAUCUAGUCCUUUAAAAGUGUGUGGCACCUCCUCUGCUCACUCUCUUUCUUGCUCCUGCUUUUACCAUGUGACGUGCCAGCUCUCCCUUUACCUUCUGCCAUGUUUGGGAGCUUCCUGAGGCCUUCCCAGAAGCAGAUGCCAGUAUGCUGCCUGUACAACCUGCAGAACUCUGGAGCCAUCGCAUGAAUAUGUACACUUUAAAAUUCACAAAAGGACAUUCUCACAGGUUCACUGGAGCUUAAUGAGUAGUUAAUAUAUCUGCACCGAAGUGACAGGGGAGAAGUGUUACUCAGCAAUGGCUAACCGGAACAUCUUCCAUUAUUAUUGAUUAUAUGAGUUUGAAAUUAUGAAAAUUGUUGGAGAGUUUCCUUAUCAAAUCUUUCCUAUGUAGUAAUAUAGUUGGAGCCAUCACAAAGCUGAAUUUUGAAGCAGUUCACAGGUUCCAGGAUAACCAGAUGACUGAGGAAUGUUGAAGAUUGCAGUGAUGGAAGUGCCUCAGUCAGCCUGGAAGACUGUAUGGAUGGAGGUUGCCUGGCCACACUGUCAUGUCCCUCUCUCCCUGAAAAAGAGACACAUUUGCCUUUGGGCAAGGCAAUACAUACAUUUGGUCUAUGUAUACACUUUGGUCUAUGCAUUCUGUUAUUUAACAUUCUAAUAAUGUUGAUGACCUUAAAAUAUGCUUGACAAUGAUCCGUGUAAAUCAUUAUUAUUCUGCCUUCUGCAAGAUAAGAAUUAUGGGCCAGGUAUGGCACUUAACGCCUAUAAUACAAACAUUUUGGAAGGCCAAGGCAGGAGGAUUGCUUGAGCUCAGGAGUUAGAGACCAGCUUGGGCAACAUAGUGAGACCUCAUCUCUACUAAAAAUAAAACAAAAAAAGUUAUGAGAGUGACACUGCACUCCAGCUUGGGUGACAGAGCGAGAUCCUGUAUCCAAAUAAAUAAAUAUCUAAUAUAGGAAUUAUCAAAUUCAACACAUAUUAAUUAUUUUCAUAUCCAUUUAUGGAAAAUAAUAAUGUGGGGAUGAUUCUUAAAAGGGAUUCUGGAAGUGGUUUCUUCAAUUAAAUAUAUUCAAAACUCAUUCCCGCUUACUACACAAAUCAAAGAGGAAUUGAAAAUGUGUGUGAUUCCCACUAAAUUAUUUUCCUUUCAUAUGGCUUGAUGUUACUGUCUUUGUGGAGUGGCUGAGAAAUGUCUCCUUCUUGCCUUUAUCUUCAAAGGCUCUGCCAAUGUGAAGUACAGGAGAGAGAGGCAAGAGCAGGGCCCACUAGUGGAAUCAUCUCAGCCUUAUUCCCCAGGGGAAAACACAUUCUUUUUCACUUUCCUGAGCUGCCUUAUCUGAUAAAAAUGAUUCUUACAUCUCCCAGCAAUGCCUUCUGAUUGUAAUGUAGUUUAUGCCACUGGUUUGCCUAUUUCUCAAAUAUAAACCUACACGCAUGUACACACAUUUGGCCUUAGCCUUUCUAAUUCCACUCUCAUCAGGACAGAUUGCACACCUGUAAACAUUCUUAGAUCAACUCCAGUAAUCAAUCCACAUUCAUGUAACCCCUGCAGAAUAAAGAUCAUUGGAGACCUUCAAGAUUGACUUCCCAUUUAAACCGUAAGAAAACAAGACCCCAAUGUGUCAGCUGCAGAACCACAAUAAGGACCUAAGUCCCAUGUCUUAUUGUUCAGUGGUUUUUCUAAGUCACUGUAAAAUUUUUCUACAUUCCUGGCCUGAGAACAGAAGUACCUUUUGCUUAUCUAUUCAAUUAAAUUCAGUAGUUGGUAAAUGUGAAUAAAGGAAAUCAAAACACUAUUGAAGAUUAUUUAGAUAUGGCUGAGAAGUGGGGUGAACAAACCUGACCCACUUUAACUUAGAGAUUCAAAAUAUAAACUUAACUCAGUUGCAGUCAACAACCUGACAUUAAAUGCAAACAUACAAGUAAAGAACCCAAGUAAACAGAAAAAACUAACCUGCUACCUACCUUUAAACACUAAAUAUAGAGCUCCUGUCGUCCUGUUUCUUACUGAUUUAUAACUUCAAAUAAUGGGUCAAGAAAAAAGCUACAUAUAUGAAAAGAUGAGAUCUGCGUUUCAAUCCAAAUCUUUCUUUCAAUAACCCUACUACUUGAAACCAUAGAAGGAGACAGGAACUUCCUCCCUUGUUUCUUUUUUCUUUUUCAAAACUACCCACUAAUCUUUUAAUUAAAAGUGAAUGAUGGAGAGAUGGCAAGUGAGCAGGAGAAGCUGAGGAACACAGCUCCCUUAUGUAUUUGCACAACGCUAAUCACUCUUCACAUCUUACAGAGAGAUCUGUACUAGUUACAUGGAAUCUAAUCUGUUCUACUAAAGCUGAUGCUGUCAGCUGCCAUGCUUAGCUCUCAUUCAUUAUGCUUGUAGACACAUUUUGAGAAAAUACAUUAUCUAGAAGAGAAACUUCUAAGAAGGUUUUAUAUACUAUAUGAUGCUAAUAUUUUAGAUAAUGUUUUAUGCUAGUUUAAUCUUUGUGUAUUGAAAGAACUCUGAUUUUCCUGGAAGUCCCUAGACAGUACAUUUAAUUAAUCUUACCUCUCAGUUCAACAAGUUGCCUUUUACUUUAGUCAUAUAAUCAAUCUCUUGGUAAUAAUAUAUAGUGAUAUCCAGGCAUGUAUGAUGCAAGCAAGUUUUUAGUUUAAAGCUAAGGAAUUAAAAUGAAAACAAUACAUAGUGCUCUCUGUACAACAAUGACUGAGAAUAGGUAGUCGUGCUCUUUAUAUACAAGGCACUGUGCUGAGCAUAUUUUGUAAGUUAUUGCCAUGAUUCCAUGUAAUUAUGUAUUAUAAUUUUACCUUUGAAGAAGAUAAGCCUCAAAAAUGGCAAGCAGUUCACCCACCCACAUUUAAAUGUCUGUUACACCUCUGAGAUAUACAACCCAUGAAUUCUACCAUUAUUCACUCUGUCUGUCAACUCCAUUCUGUCUUCAUGUACCUCCCAGCCCAAUUGAUGUGUCAAGGCAUUGGAUUUAAUUCAUUCACUCCAGAAAUAUUUAUCACAUGCUUAUAGGUGCUUGGCUCUCUUCUAGGUGCCCAAGUCACAUCAGUGAAAAAAAAAAAUAAACAAGAUCCUCAUCCUCAUCAAGCUUAUAUUUAUUUCCCAACAUCUGAUUUCAAUUUCCUUGCCAUGCACUCCUUUCAUCAUAGAAGCCUUACAAAAUCCCCAAUCCAAUUGAAUCUAAUUCUGUGCUUCAUGUUUCUCACCCUCGCUUGGUAAAACCCACAACUGUGCUUGCCGGAUUUUACCAUAAAUUACUAACCAUGAACUUCAAGUGGUCUAUUAGUGAUCAGUACCAACGCUUUAAUAGUUGUCUGCUCCUUUGACUCUUUCACAUUCCUAAAAGAUUUUCCAUUUUUCUCUGUCUCCUUCCAGCAACUCCUGGCCAAUUCUUAUCUCACCUAAUGACUUUGAUUCUUAUUAUACAAAGACAAUAGUAAAAAUCAGAAGAGUACUUAUACAAACUACCACCAUGAAAAUCAUCACUCUACCUGUAUCUCUCCCGACUCUUGAUCAUCCUUCCUACCACUGUGGAGAAAUUUUUCUGUGCAUUUUUGUUCUCAGUACUGCUGAAGAUUUUUUCCAUGCUUCUGUCCAAGGAGGGCAUCUCUUCACUAGAUCCCAGUUGUAUCAUUCUAGCAUUGGCGCUUAUUUUCUCGCAUAUCACUGGCUUUCCAAUUUUUCCCUUUUAAAAGGAUAAUUCUUAUAAAUUUACAGCUAUAAUAGAUAACAGAAAAAAGCCUCUCUUGAUCCAAGGUCUCCUUCCGUUUCCCACCCCAUUUAUCUCUUUUUCUUUACAUUAAAGUUUUUCCAACUGUUUCCAGUUUCUCCCACAGAAUUCUCUCCUUAAUCUAGCCCUGGAAGACUCUCAGGCCUAUGACUUCAAAAUGAGAUCCUCCACCCAGACCAUUAUUGAUCUCAAAGUUGCUAAGUUCAGGUAAAUUCCUGGUACUUGUCUUACUUGACCUCUGUGGUGCUUAAAUUAGCUGAUCCCUUUCCUUCUUGAAACACAUUGUCCAGUUUAUUUCCAGGAUGCCAUUUUCUUGAUUCUUCUCAUGAGAUUCUGCUCAGAUUUCUUUGUUUGAUCUUUCUCAACUCUCCAGCCUUUGAAAUUUGGGAUGCACUAAAACUCAGUCCAUUGAUAUUUCCUUUUAAAAAUGCCCAUUGCCCUACUGAACACAUCUAGUCUCGUAUCAUCUACACAUGGAUGAUUUCCCAAUUUAUAUUUCCACAUUUAAAUGCCUACUCUAAAUAUUUGCAUGGCUAUCUAAAAAGCAUCUCAAAUGUAACAUGCCCAUAUUUGAUCUCCCUCAUACUUCCCUCUUCCAAUAAAAUUUUCAAGUCUUCUUCUCAGUAAUGGUAAAUACUCUCUACGGCCAUAUCAUCCUGAACAUGCACAAUCUCAUUAACAAUGGCAAAUACUUUCUUCCAGAUGCUGAUGUGGAAAACCUAAUGUUCAUCCUUGAUUAAUAUUUUUCUCUUACAUCACAUAUCUCACCCACCCCUGUACCACCUGUUUCAAGCCAUCAUCACUUUACACCUGCAUUAUUGCAAUAUCCUCCUAAGAAGCUGCUCUUUUUUUUCACCACCUCCAACAUCAGCUCGUAACACAGCAGCCAAAAUGACCAUUUUAAAAUAAAAGUUAGAUCCUCUCUCUCUCUCAGUAUAAACGCUCUUUCUCAGAGUAAAAGCCAGGUCUAACAAUGGCACCUCAUAAUUGUCCAUCUUAUCUCCUGACCUCAUUUCUUACCUCUCUCCUUCUCUAGCUCUUUUCCUUAUACCCUGGAAUCCUUGAACUUGAUCCAGACUCAGGACCUCUUCCUGGAACAUUCUACUCUCUGAUAGCUCUAGAACUAGAAUAUAAGGUAAAUAACACUUGCUGAUUUGAAAAAUAUACUACAAACCUAAGUGGUUUAAUACAAUAUCUUUUUUUUUUUUUUUUUGGCUAAUAUUACAGUCCAGUGAGAAUAUGACAGCACCUCUGGUUAGCUCUCUUCUAAGCAGAGAUUAAGUCCUUGAUUUUGGUCCUAAAGAGAGAAAGAAAAAGCAAGGAGAAGAGUACAGUGAGUUUUAAGAGUCUGACCUGUAAAUGGCCUACAUUUUUCCUUCCCACAUUUCAACAACUACUGCUCAGUCUCAUGACUAAUCUAUCUGCAAAGAGAUAAAUUCAGAAGCACAAAGCUAGCCUAAAUAUUAGAAUGCCCCCCCCCCCCAGAUCUCUGCCACAUUAGUCCCCUGCUUUCCUCAGGAAGACAAGGGAAACUUUUUCUGGCUACCCUGCUUACAAGAGCAACACUUCCUAAAUUAAAUGUUGCUCAGUGAUCUCCAAUCCUGCUUGUUUGUUUGCUGGUUUGAGACAGAGUCAUGCUCUGUCACCCAGGCUGGAGUGCAGUGGUGUGAUCUUGGCUCACUCUAAGCUCCACCUCAUGGGUUCAAGUGAUUAUCCUGCCUCAGCCUCCCAAGUAGCUGGGAUUACAGGUGCCCAGCACUACGCCUGGCUAAUUUUUGUAUUUUUAGUUGAGACGGGGUUUCACCAUGUUGGCCAGGCUAGUCUCAAACUCCUGACCUCAAGUGAUCCAUCUGCCUCGGCCUCCCAAAGUGCUGGGAUUACAGGUGUGACCCACUGGGCCCGGCCCAAUCCUGUUUUUUUAAUGUCCCUGGACACCCAGCUCAACUGCAUGUUUUGCUUUUCUUAAAGUUAGGUGAAGUCAGGCAAUGGAGCUUUUAGACAAGAAAAUGCAUAUAAACUGAGUGGAAUUGAUCAAACCUUGUAAUCCUGCUUCCUUAAAAUGCCUGUGUGCUGUUCUCUACUCCCUUUCUUCAACCACCAACUGAACACAGGGUUCUAGAGUUCUCAGGAGGGCAGAUACAAGAGAGCAGGAGGAUGGGUUCCUGAAUGACCACAUGGAAGGCUUCCCACUAAUAAGAAAUCUUAGUAUUGGACUUCACAUAAACACUGAGAAAAUGGCUCUUUGGGAAGCCACUAAAAUUUUUUUAUUUAUCUGUUAUAGCAGUUAGUUAUAGCCUUCCCAAUUCAAUGUCCUAUGUCUCUGAAUGUGCUUUAUUUAAAACCACAUCACUUAUCACCAUCUGACAUAUUCUGUAUUUGCCUGUCACUUUUUCUCCUGUGUCUUCUGUCCAGAGAAAGUGUUGGCCAACUAUAACCCAAGAGCCAAAUCUAGCUUGCUUCCUGUUUUCAUAUGUAAUUAUUUAUUGGAAUAUAGCCACAGCUAUUCAUUUCUGUAUUUAGAGAGGAGCUGUGUCUAUGCUACAACAGGAGAGUUCAGUAGUUGCAACAGAGAAACUGUAUGAUCUACAAACAAUAUUUACUAUCUGGCCCUUUACAGAAACAGUUUGCCAAUGUUUGUACUAGAAUGUAAACUCCAAGAAUGUAAAACCUUUGUCUCUUUAGUUUGCUGUUAUAUACCCAGCAUUAGAACAGUCUCUGGUCCAUUGCAGGUAUUCAUAUAAUAUUUGUUAAAUGCAUAAUUGAAUAAGUGAAUGAGUGUGCAGCAAGCCAAAAAUGUUCCAGAAAAAAAAUUCAUAUCUAAAUUUCUUGAACCUCUGAAUAUUGCCUUACAUGAAAAAUCAGACAAACAAAAAUCAAUCAUUGCAUGUGAUUAAGUUAAAGAUCUUGACCUAAAAGAUUAUCCAGUAUUAGCCAGAUGGACUCUAAAUACAAUCACAUGUAUCUGUAUAAGAGGGAAGCAGAAAGAAAUUUGACCACACAGACAGAAAAGGAGAGGGGAUGUGAUCACACAGGCAGAGGUUAGACUGAUGUACCACAAGCCAAUGAAUGUUGGUGGCCACUAGAAAUAUUAUCUAAAGGAUUAGGAAUUAUCUGUUUAGAACUUUCCUGAUGGCCACACCCUCCAAACCCCCGAUACUGAUUUCAGAUUUAUGACAUCCAGAACUGUAAAAGAAUAAAUUUCUAUUGUUUAAGCCACCAAGUUUCCAGUAAUUUGUUACAGAGGCAGCAGGAAACCAAUACAGAGGGGAAAAUGACUUAAAACUACUUCUAAUUCCAAGAUAAUGUUCAAAAUGUUCAUGCAAAAACUACUUCUUGUGUCAACAUUCAGUCUAUAUAAGUGCUCUUGAAAUUAAUUAUCACUAUAAUUCAGUCUCAUGAGGAAAAAUAUUUUGGCUUUUUUUGUGAACCAAAAAUUUAUAGCAAUUCAUAAGUUACAGUUUAUGGAUGAAAUUAAACAUAUUUGAGAUUAUUUUUAUAUUAGCACUUUAUAAAUCAGUUGCUGAAAUAGUCUGUUUUGAAAUAUUAGAUAUAACUGCCAGGAAUAAUUCUGAUAUUUUCUUUAACACAUUUUAGUCAUUUCUUGAAUUGCAAUGUUUUAUUAUCAUAAAUUGCCAAACUAAUAAAAUUAAUUGCUAUUGAAAAAUAAGAAUUGUGAAUGUCUUCAGGGUGAGGGCUGAGCAUGUAAAAAGUUUUUUUUUUUCCUUAAAAAAAUGGGACUCAGGGGAGGAAGUUCCCUUCUUCUCCUUCAGAGAAUGUGGUCAUGAUCAUUUCUCCCUGCAAAGACCUGGAAAGGCUGCAGCCGUUUUGGAAAUACGGACUUACACUUGGCUGAUAGGCUGAGUCUGGGAGAGUGCAAAGAUGAAAAAACACCUAGCACAUGGAUCGUGUCACUGAGCUACUGAAUCAAUCACGGAACCAUGCUCCAUCUGUACUUUGUGUUCUCUCAUAGAAUAAAUGUUCACUUUGGGUUGUGUAUCCAUUACUUGAAGCUAAAAAUCUCCCCAUGUAGGCAAUGAUCACUACAAUGGGUUACUUACGUUUCUGAGUAACGUACUCAUUUAAUGAAAAAAAGAUAGAGCAAAGUCCUCAAUCAUAUUUAUCAAUUAACAAGGGUCUGACUAAAACUACUUGAGGUUCCAGGGAGAUAACGUGGGAACCAAGAUAUUUAAUUGUCCAUCUGCCAUUUGAGGAUUUUUUUUUCCCCACAAAAGGAAUCAAUUUGUGUAGCCAUGAUGGUGACUUCAGCUGAUGCCUCUGUUGAGCACUGGCUGUACUGUUUAAAUGAUAUACUAAAAUGGACAAAUGGGCAGAAGCUUCUUCACAAAGAGCAAAUCUAUCUCUGGUUUGCGUGGUAACUUUCAUGCCUGUAGUAGAAUAAACUUCAAUAUAUCCUAUUUAUAAAAUUGCUCUGAAAAUGGAAGACAUCUUAAAAUGUUGGCAUGCACUCAAUAAGGUGGUAUUCUCUCCAAAUUUAAUAUAAAAUUAAUGUUUUAAAAUUGACAACAUCUUUGAAUCUACAAAAUACAUGUGCCCCACUCCAGACCUACUGCCACAUUGACUCUAUACCUACUAAUCUAACAAAUAGUGAGCUUGUUUGGAUUUUGCCAAAAGCAAAUAUUUAAACAUGAGAACAGUUAAUAUUCCCAAUUGCUGCUUCAUAUAAAACUAAGCUAGCAUUUAUUUUAUCUCCCUGUCUUGUUCCUUGUGCACUGUUCUGGCUCUGUAAGAACACUAGACUUUGCAUGAGAAAACUAAGGAUUCAACUGAAGAUGAUUUAUUAAGUUGGUGAUUUAUUUAAGUACAUUUAUUGUCAUUGUUUUGCAACACAUAAUACAAUUUCCAAAAUAACUAGGAAUUGUUUUCUUCUAUUUUAUAUUGUUUUUUGAAUUUCCUCUAUGAAGGAAUCAUUUAACCUUUCAGUUUAGGCACUAUAUUUUUUACCUCAUUAUGCAACAGAAAUGUUUUGAAAGUUGUAGUCUGAAACCCAGAAUUCAGUCUUAGCUCCACAACUUAGUGGUUACUUAGCUCUUCCAAUCUCUGCAUUUGCAUAAGUUUGGGGAUAACCGUAAUUAAGAUACCUUACCUUAAGUGGUAAGAUUUGGGGAUUAAAUGACAAAAUCAGAAAAGUCUUUGUUUGUGUUUAAGUUCUGUAUACAGAUGUUCCU
rnacentral:lncRNA from 10 species